rnacentral:rRNA from 1 species
GGAAUAUUGCACAAUGGGCGCAAGCCUGAUGCAGCGACGCCGCGUGAGGGAUGACGGCCUUCGGGUUGUAAAGCUCUUUCGCACGCGACGAUGAUGACGGUAGCGUGAGAAGAAGCCCCGGCUAACUUCGUGCCAGCAGCCGCGGUAAUACGAAGGGGGCUAGCGUUGUUCGGAAUUACUGGGCGUAAAGGGCGCGUAGGCGGUACUUCAAGUCAGGCGUGAAAGCCCCGGGCUCAACCUGGGAACCGCGCUUGAGACUGGAGAACUAGAGUUCGGGAGAGGAUGGUGGAAUUCCCAGUGUAGAGGUGAAAUUCGUAGAUAUUGGGAAGAACACCGAUGGCGAAGGCAGCCAUCUGGACCGACACUGACGCUGAGGCGCGAAAGCGUGGGGAGCAAA